rnacentral:misc_RNA from 1 species
GGUAUUCUGAGGAGCAUGCCUGUUUGAGUGUCAUUAAAUUCUCAACCUCACUGGCUUUGCAGCUGGUUUGGAUUGGAUGUGGGGGGAAUUUUGCAGGCUUUCACAAGUCAGCUCCUCUGAAAUGCAUUAGCAGUACCAUUGUGGUCAACGGCUAUUGGUGUGAUAGAUAUCUAUGCCAUUAGACAGACCCAUCUUGUGCUGCUUCUAACCGUCUUUUUGGACAAGUCUUUAUGACCAUCUU